rnacentral:rRNA from 1 species
UGGGGAAUUUUGCGCAAUGGGGGAAACCCUGACGCAGCAACGCCGCGUGAGUGAUGAAGGCUUUCGGGUCGUAAAGCUCUGUCUAGAGGGAAGAAAUGAUAAUCGGUUAAUACCCGGUUUUCUUGACGGUACCUCUGAAGGAAGCACCGGCUAACUCCGUGCCAGCAGCCGCGGUAAUACGGAGGGUGCAAGCGUUGUUCGGAUUUAUUGGGCGUAAAGCGCGUGUAGGCGGUUUGUUAAGUCUGAUGUGAAAGCCCCGGGCUCAACCUGGGAAGUGCAUUGGAAACUGGCAGACUUGAAUACGGGAGAGGGCAGUGGAAUUCCUAGUGUAGGAGUGAAAUCCGUAGAUAUUAGGAGGAACACCGGUGGCGAAGGCGGCUACCUGGACCGAUAUUGACGCUGAGACGCGAAAGCGUGGGGAGCAAACA